rnacentral:rRNA from 1 species
UCCGAACCGUCGUCGAACGCGUGCACUUCUCCCCCUGUAGGACGUCGCGAUCCGUUGGGCGCAGGCCUAAGGCCCCCGGUGGAGUCCGUCCGGACACGGCUUGCCGUUCCGGACGAACCCGAGGUGUUUCCCGGCCUGCUCGCUCGACGGUAUACAGAUGGCGCGGGGCCGCUACCUUUUCAAGUUAGCGUCCGACCCGCGGCAAGCGCGCCCGUCGUGUCGGUGAUCGGACCUGGUGCCGGUCCCGACCGCGGGUGGCUGUUCGCUGCGGUGCUCUCGGACAGACCUCGAUGAAACGCCGAUCUGCGACGCUAUAGCUUUGGGUACUUUCAGGACCCGUCUUGAAACACGGACCAAGGAGUCUAGCAUGUGCGCGAGUCAUUGGGAUCUCGAUAGACCUAAAGGCGCAAUGAAAGUGAAGGCCCGCCUUGCGCGGGCCAAGGGAGGAUGGGUGAAGGUCUCGGCCGACACCCCGCACUCCCGGGGCGUCUCGUUCUCAUUGCGAGAAGAGGCGCACCAAGAGCGUACACGCUGGGACCCGAAAGAUGGUGAACUAUGCCUGGUC